UACAGAGGUCUCAAGCGUUGUUCGGAUUCAUUGGGCGUAAAGGGUGCGUAGGCGGCGCGGUAAGUCGGGUGUGAAAUCUCGGAGCUUAACUCCGAAACUGCAUUCGAUACUGCCGUGCUUGAGGACUGGAGAGGAGACUGGAAUUUACGGUGUAGCGGUGAAAUGCGUAGAUAUCGUAAGGAAGACCAGUGGCGAAGGCGGGUCUCUGGACGGUUACUGACGCUGAGGCACGAAAGCGUGGGGAGCAAACAGG
rnacentral:rRNA from 1 species